rnacentral:rRNA from 1 species
UCGAGAAUUUUUGACAAUGGGGGAAACCCUGAUCGAGCGACGCCGCGUGGAGGAUGAAGGUCUUCGGAUUGUAAACUCCUGUCAUUGGGGAACAAGGUGCAUACGUUAACUGCGUGUGUAUUGAUAGUACUCGAAGAGGAAGAGACGGCUAACUCUGUGCCAGCAGCCGCGGUAAUACAGAGGUCUCAAGCGUUGUUCGGAUUCAUUGGGCGUAAAGGGUGCGUAGGCGGCGCGGUAAGUCGGGUGUGAAAUCUCGGAGCUUAACUCCGAAACUGCAUUCGAUACUGCCGUGCUUGAGGACUGGAGAGGAGACUGGAAUUUACGGUGUAGCGGUGAAAUGCGUAGAUAUCGUAAGGAAGACCAGUGGCGAAGGCGGGUCUCUGGACAGUUCCUGACGCUGAGGCACGAAGGUCAGGGGAGCAAACG